rnacentral:rRNA from 1 species
AUUGAACGCUGGCGGAAUGCUUUACACAUGCAAGUCGAACGGUAGAGGGGGCAACCCCUCGAGAGUGGCGAACGGGUGAGUAAUAUAUCGGAACGUGCCCAGUCGUGGGGGAUAACGUAGCGAAAGUUACGCUAAUACCGCAUACGAUCUAAGGAUGAAAGCGGGGGAUCGCAAGACCUCGCGCGAUUGAAUGAGCCGAUGUCGGAUUAGCUAGUUGGUGGGGUAAAGGCCUACCAAGGCGACGAUCUGUAGCGGGUCUGAGAAGAUGAUCCGCCACACUGGGACUGAGACACGGCCCAGACUCCUACGGGAGGCAGCAGUGGGGAAUAUUGGACAAUGGGGGGAACCCUGAUCCAGCCAUGCCGCGUGUGUGAAGAAGGCCUUAUGGUUGUAAAGCACUUUAAGCGAGGAGGAGGCUCUUUUGGUUAAUACCCAAGAUGAGUGGACGUUACUCGCAGAAUAAGCACCGGCUAACUCUGUGCCAGCAGCCGCAGUAA